rnacentral:rRNA from 1 species
UAUCCGUUCAGUGGCGGACGGGUGCGUAACACGUGAACAAUCUGCCCGGAAGAGGGGGAUAGCCCAGGGAAACUUGGAUUAAUACCCCGUGUGGCACAGGCUGCAUCAGUCUGUUGCGAAAGGUGCUGAAAGGUGCCGCUUCCGGAUGAGUUCGCGGCCUAUCAGCUAGUUGGCGGGGUAACGGCCCACCAAGGCAACGACGGGUAGCUGGUCUGAGAGGAUGACCAGCCACACUGGAACUGAGACACGGUCCAGACACCUACGGGUGGCAGCAGUCGAGAAUCAUUCACAAUGGGCGAAAGCCUGAUGGUGUGACGCCGCGUGGAGGAUGAAGGUCUUCGGAUUGUAAACUCCUGUCAAGUGAGAGUAAAGCCGGGCGUUAACUGCGAGCCGGUUUGAGAGUAUCACUAGAGGAAGGGACGGCUAACUUCGUGCCAGCAGCCGCGGUAAUACGAAGGUCCCGAGCGUUGUUCGGAAUCACUGGGCGUAAAGGGAGCGU